rnacentral:lncRNA from 1 species
UUCGACAUUGUCACAUUGGAGUAUAUAAAUAAUCUUAAUAAAGUCAAAAUCUAAACCAAACAGACUUGGUAUAAAUGCGGCAUGUAUUGAUAAUGGAAUCUACAAUUUGGAAUUAUAUUUUAUUAAAAAAAUUAAUUAAAAACUCCACUAGAGGGGAAUGGGUUCAAAUAAUAAUCCUAACAUCCGAUGCUUGAUUUCAAGAUUCUGAAUGCCAAUCCCAUCUCCAUGUUCGUACAAGUAUUGUGCCAUUCUAGCGAAAUUAACAGCAAUUCCCACAAAAGUCUGUGAAAAUGGAGAAUCCAUAUGUUGAUCUUUGUUCAAUUUUUUCCACAUCUCCUGUAUCAGAAACCUCGUGUUUGCGUGCAUCGUCUUCAGAAGCCCCAGUUUCGUUCAUGUAACAUUGUAUUGAUGUAGAAACGUCACCCCUUUCGAGUUCAUCUUGAAUGAAGAAAAAUGGACAAGAUUUGUUAGUCGAAAGGGUGAUUUUCA